rfam:Canis lupus familiaris chromosome 25, whole genome shotgun sequence.
CCUGCUUUGGCAACAGAAUAUACUAAAAUUGGAGAUUAGCACAGCCUCUGCACCAGGAUGACAUGCAAAUUGGUGAAGCUUUCCACAUUAAA